UACGUAGGUGGCAAGCGUUAUCCGGAAUUAUUGGGCGUAAAGCGCGCGCAGGUGGUUUCUUAAGUCUGAUGUGAAAGCCCACGGCUCAACCGUGGAGGGUCAUUGGAAACUGGGGAACUUGAGUGCAGAAGAGGAUAGUGGAAUUCCAAGUGUAGCGGUGAAAUGCGUAGAUAUCGGGAGGAACACCAGUGGCGAAGGCGGCCUUCUGGCCUUAACCUGACGCUGAGGAGCGAAAGCUAGGGGAGCAAACGGG
rnacentral:rRNA from 1 species